rnacentral:rRNA from 1 species
ACACCCAACAAGGGCUGGCCAAGACCGGUGCCAGCCCGCCGCGGUAAUACCGGCAGCCCGAGUGAUGGCCCGAUCUUAUUGGGCCUAAAGCGUCCGUAGCUGGCUGCGCAAGUCCGUCGGGAAAUCCACUCGCCCAACGAGUGGGCGUCCGACGGAAACUGCACAGCUUGGGACCGGAAGGCUCGAAGGGUACGUUCGGGGUAGGAGUGAAAUCCCAUAAUCCCGCACGGACCACCGAUGGCGAAAGCACUUCGAGAAAACGGAUCCGACAGUGAGGGACGAAAGCCAGGGUCUCCAACCGGAUUAGAUACCCGGGUAGUCCUGGCUGUAAACAAUGUUCGCUAGGUAUGACACAGACUACGCGUCUCUGUGUGCCGUAGGAAGCCGAGAAGCGAACCGCCUGGGAA